rnacentral:rRNA from 1 species
AGCUGCAGUCGAGAAUCUUUCGCAAUGGGCGAAAGCCUGACGAAGCGACGCCGUGUGAGCGAAGAAGGCCUUCGGGUUGUAAAGCUCUUUCGCUAGGGAACAAGAAAGUCUGAUUAAUAAUCAGGAUGAUUUGAUGGUACUUGGUAAAGAAGCACCGGCUAACUCC